UAGGAAGGCAGCAGUGGGGAAUAUUGCACAAUGGGCGCAAGCCUGAUGCAGCCAUGCCGCGUGUAUGAAGAAGGCCUUCGGGUUGUAAAGUACUUUCAGUCGUGAGGAAGGUGUUAAGGUUAAUAACCUUAGCAAUUGACGUUAGCGACAGAAGAAGCACCGGCUAACUCCGUGCCAGCAGCCGCGGUAAUACGGAGGGUGCGAGCGUUAAUCGGAAUUACUGGGCGUAAAGGGCACGCAGGCGGUUAAUUAAGUUGGAUGUGAAAUCCCCGGGCUUAACCUGGGAAUGGCAUUCAAGACUGGUUAGCUAGAGUCUUGUAGAGGGGGUUAGAAUUCCAUGUGUAGCGGUGAAAUGCGUAGAGAUGUGGAGGAAUACCGGUGGCGAAGGCGGCCCCUGGACAAAGACUGACGCUCAUGUGCGAAAGCGUGGGGAGCAAAC
rnacentral:rRNA from 1 species